rnacentral:piRNA from 1 species
UCCUAAAACUCAUCCACUAAGUAGGGA